ensembl:snRNA U6 U6 spliceosomal RNA
AUGCUCGCUUCAGCAGCACAUACACUAACAUUGGAACGGAAGGGAGGAGAUUAGCACGGCCCCUGCACAAGCAAGACAUGCAAAUCUGUGAAAAUGCUGGAGGCGCCCAGUGAAAUGUGCGUUAAACUUUUUU